AUAUGUUUUAUGUUAUGUAUUUCUGGAGUAGCUGUCAGUCAAUAAAAUUUACUAAUUGUUACAGUAAUGAUAUAAAAAUGUUAUAAAAGUGCCUCACUUUACAUGUUUCCAAAACUUCAAAUAUCUGACAUUUGAAUGGUGCCACAUAUUUUUUCUUGAUGUCAAUGAAUCCUAUGUUGACCCGUGUUGUUUAGGUAUUUUGUCAGGCGCUGCAUUACUCUUGAGAAUCAUCUGUCAUUUCUCUGUAAAACUGAAAGUAUGUGUAAAGUGUAACAAUUUGUUUUAUAUUUCUAUUGACCAAACUCUUCUGUAAUGUUGUAUGAUACAAUUUGUAGCUGAAAAGUUAAUAAUAUAAUUUACAUAUCAAUAUGUUUGUAAAUAUGGGAUUGUGAUAUUCAUAUUAGGAGUUUACUGUUGAAAAUCAUUUCAGCUUCCACUUAAUUUGGAGGUUGAAUUGAACCCUUUACACCCUUAAAUACCUUUAUUGUGAAAUAAUGAUGUUUUUUUUUUACAAUAUCGCUAUUUUGAUGAAAUGGAUAUUUCUUUUUUUUGUGACAGCCUUCUUAGUACACAAUUUCCAUGUGAAUACAUUUUGGUGUUAUGCAACCAUUUAGUAUAGAGUUUAUAUUUGUAUGUGUGCCAUUUCAAUACCCUCCAAUACAUUUUGUUUCAGUCUUGACUUAGUCUCGCAUCGUAAAUGUCCCUGAAUAUUUCCGUGAUAUUGAUUCUCGCCCCGGAUAUAAAAGUUGUAUGACUUAGUUUCGUGUCGUAAAUGUCCCUAAAUAUUUCGUGAUAUUGAUUCUAGCCCGGGAUAUAAAAGUUGUACGACUUUGUAUCACGUACGUCGUAAAUGUCCCUGAAUAUUUCCGUGAUAUUAAUUCUAGCCCCGGAUAUAAAAGUUGUAUGACUUAGUAUCACAUCGUAAAUGUUCCUGAAUAUUUCCGUGAUAUUAAUUCUAGCCCGGAUAUAAAAAUUGUAUUUUUAUCAUUAUUUACCCUUAUUUCAUUUUAUACCCUGAUGUUAUCAUUUCUAAAAUGUCAUCACAUUAUAUACAUUUUAUAUUUAUAUGAAUUUAUUAUUAAUAUUGUCCUACAAAUAUACUGUAACACAGUAUGUUAUAUACUUUAACACCGACAGUAUAUUGUAUUGACCAGAGACUUGUUUACCACCUUAGGGCUAUUCCUUGAAAAUAUCUACCUGACCCCAGGACUCCACAAUAAAUCACUUCUAUCCAUGGUUGGAUUGCCUUCCUAUUACUACUAUUCACUUUUUAUUUAGAUAAAUUCUAUAGGUGGUACCCCUUAACCAAAGCUGGAGUCCUGGGGUGGGGUAGAUGUUUUACUGGAAAAGCCUUUAUUAACUGUGAUAUUGUGCUUCUUCCUAGUACUUUUCUAAACAUGAUAUAGUAAAUAUAAUUAUUGUAGCUUUGAAUUAACUACCUUUUGUAUAUCAAAUUUGUGUGUAUGUUUUUUUAUUAAUUAUGAUGUACAUUUGUAGUUAAAAUGCCUCAUAUGUUAAUGUGUUAUACACAUUUUUUGUACAAAUUGUGAAUUCGCUUUCAAGUUUUUGUAAGUAAAGUUUGUAAGUGUAUAUCCCACAUCCUGCCUAGGCUAUUUGAUAUAUACAAUAAUUUAGAGGUUUAAUUAAGUAUUUAUGAUAAAAUGAUUGAAUGUUGUAAUUAUUUUGAUCCCAUAGUUUGAACUGUUGGACAUUAAAACUAAAUUUUUUGGGAUAUUAAAACUCUAAAUUUAGAAUUUGUUUCAACAUCACAAGUUUAUCUAAUUUUUGAAUAAAAUGCAUUAAUUUGGCAUUGAGAUUUUUUAUUCUAAUAAGUUUCUGAAAAGUUAGUGUAAGCAAUAUGUGAUGGCUGCUGCUGGUAAGCUUCAUAAUAAUUACAAUUGCUAUAUAUAUGACAUGUAAGAUAGAGUGAAUUCCCAACUCUACAACAGUGUAUGCAAGUAAUUGUAGCUCUAAAUUACUGGAAUGAGUAACAUUUAAAAAAUGCAAACCUUUCAUGACAUAAGAAAUCUUUAAAAUCUUUUACUGAGAUGUAACUUUACAUGAAUUUGAAAUCCAAGAAUAAAAAAAAUAUCAUUAUUGUCAUAUUUUAUCUGUUUUUGAACUUAGAUUUUCUACAGUAAGUUGCAACUCUCUACAAGUAAAGAAAAAAUAAAAAUAUAAAAAAAAUGGGCAAUAAUUAGGUACCAGUUUAGUAUCUUGGGUGAUUUGAUCAAAUUUCUUUAUUGUAGACCUGAGUCUGUAUCAAUAAACAUUACAACUGAACUGUUCUUUAGAAUUUUUCUUGCAUGGGCAUUUAUAAAAUGAAAAAAAUAUAUAUAUACAGUUGUAUAUAUUAAGUAAUUUGCCCAAUGAAUUAUUGUACCUGGUACUACAUUGUACACUUAUCUUAUUAAUUCAAUCAAAAGAUAAAUUCAGCAUCUACCCCAGGGCCUUAUGUUAUAUUCAAUGUUGAGGACUCCUCCUUUUAAAACAUUACAACAUUUAAUUUGCAAGCCUAGAUAGUAUAUGGUAUAUCCUGUUUGCAUGUGUAAAAUCUUCGUUGUGUGUACUUGUAUACCUGGUACUCAAUAUUGCAAUGUUUUAACUAUUUGUUAUUUUUACUAUUUAUUGAAACUCUUACCUGUAAAUUUCAAUUUAAAGAACAGUUAAACCUGUCUAAUCUGACACCUGAUAUUGCCAACAUCUUGUCUUAUAAAUAGAAGGAUACUAUUUAAUUUCCCUAAAAGUUUGAAACCCACGUGGGGCAUUUGCCAGGUACUGACCGUAGUCCGGUGGUUUUUCUCCGGGUACUCCGGCUUUCCUCCAACUUCAAAACCUGGCACGUCCUUAAAUGACCCUGGCUGUUAAUAGGAUGUUAAACAAAGUAAACCAAACACUAAAAUUAUUUUGUAGUAAUCCCGAGAUAUUCAGACACUGUUCUAAUCUGACCAUCAUUUUACCUAACGUUGUUGUUGGAAUGGUGUAACUGGAAUAUAAUAGUGCUGUUCCUUGUCAUUGUGUAUCACUGACAAGACAGUGGUCACACCUAUAUUGAAAGAUCUUGGUUUCGUUAACAUGUAUAAAAUCAAUUAGUGAAAGAUGUUUUAACAGCAUUUUGUUUUUAAAAUGAAAUAAUUUCUCUGAGAACUAAAUAUUUGACUUUAUUAAUAUAAUAAUAGUAAUAUUUAUUAAAUUUGAUACACAUUUAAUCAACUUUUAGGCACAUAUGAAAAAAAAAUUCUUAAUUAUUGAUUAUUAAUUUUUCAGUAAUAUUGAAGUAAUUCAGUUUUAAAAUUAGAAUAAUUGUAUGAUACUUCAAAAUAUGCAUGUAAUGGGAAAUAAUAUCUAUUUAUUGUUCUAGUAAAUCAUGUUUUUCAUUUCCUGAAACUUGAGUUACUGUUGAAGGUAGGUCAAUGUUUAUGACUAAUGCUUCUAAUAAUGUACUGGUUAUAGAUGUUCACUAAGAGAUUGUAUGAUAAUGAGGUGUGUGCUAGUCAUUUGUGUGGUGUGAAUUUUAAGAAUGUAGUAUGGUAAGCAGACUUGUAAUUGUACAAAUGUCAUAUUUAAAUAAAUGUUUUUUAUUAAAUCUAAAGCCUGAAACUGUUAAAAAGAAUUUCUAUUUGCCUUUCUGUCUAUACUUUACGAUUUUUGAAAAUUUCAUUCUUGCUCAAAGUAAAAUGCAAUCAAUCUUGCUAAAGUUGUUCCCCCAUGACAUCAUGGAAAUGUUUAAGACAGCGACUCUGUGCGCUUAUAUUAAAUAUUUACCAUUUUACCCCUGCCCAGUUGUUGAACAAGACACCAGUCUCCCUUUACUUUAACAAAAUACAUUUACCAUUAAAUUUUUUUUUCUCUCUGAGAACAAGUGAAGCCUAGAUAUGCUAUAUGCAUAUAUUAUUGUAUACUUACUGGUACAAAGAAAACUGUUCAAUAACCGUUGUUCUAAACAUUUUUCAAGGCGUUAAUUUCUCAAAAAAAGCUGAAUAAAUAAUAUACUAGAAUUGUAGGAUCAGAUUGAUCGACUGUGUUAACGUUGAUCCCUUUGUUUAUAGAGUUUCUAGAAUCGGAGGGUUGAAUCUCGGUCUGGUCACAUCAGAUUUCGGCUUCGAAUACCCGUAAUUAUUUUACACGGAUCAGAAGUAGAUAUGUUCGUAGAAGAUUGUUAAGAUAUAUUAUUGCCUGGAUAUGUGUGUCUUUGCUAUCGUCAGAGGUCAGAGACUUAUACUGUACAUAUAAAUGUACUUGAUUUGGCAUACAAACAUUUUAGCGUAAACCUGAAUUUGCACCAAUUGAUGGAAUGAAAAAUUAGCACACCAAAUAUGAUUGCCAUAUAAUUUAAAAAAAAAAAAGAAAAAAAACUGCAAGUAGCACAAUUAUAAUUUGAGAAUGCUUUCAGCGUGAAAAUCACUCAAAUAGGAAUACUGCUAAAAUAUGUUUGUUUACGGUUACCAUGGUAGCUGUUAUUGAUAGGGUCAAUCUCUGUUUACUUGGUGCAGUAUACUUGGUUCCAUUGAUUAGGGUAUCUGACUAGAAUUCAGAGUUCCUAGUUGAAGAAUUCACAGAUUAUGAUUUGUAGAAUUCAAAGUUAUAAAAUUCAGAAUUUCAGAUCAGGUUGUAGAAUGUAGAUCGAUCUGUGUUAGUGUCUUGGUCGAGAACUAAAAAUGUCUGUCUUGGAUGAGUCUAAGAUAAUGAUUCAGAGAACAAUUUCUUGAUCAAUACUUUUCAUUGGCUACUUGUGCAUCUCAUAAUUUUCGUCAUUAAAUCAUAUUUCGAUUAUAUUGUGUGCAUUCAUGGUAUAUUUUGGUUGUUCAAUCUUUGAAUUUUUAACUGGGUAUUUCACUCGGAACUACAUGUAAUUUCAGAAUUUCUCAUGUCAUGUUUUUUAUAAUCAGUAAAUGUAUAAUAUGAUGAAGCUUUUAUACAACUGUGAAUAUUAAAACUAUGUCACUCUAUGAUAAA